GGGGGCUUAGUGUAGCGACAGCACUUCCGUCUCUAAAACGGACGGCAUGGGUUUGAUUCCCAUAGCCCCCA
rnacentral:tRNA from 1 species